rnacentral:rRNA from 1 species
GACGAACGCUGGCGGCGGGCUUAACACAUGCAAGUCGAACGGAAAGGCCCGGCUUUUGUGGGGUGCUCGAGUGGCGAACGGGUGAGUAACACGUGAGUAACCUGCACUUGACUUUGGGAUAACUUCAGGAAACUGGGGCUAAUACCGGAUAGGAGCUCCUGCUGCAUGGUGGGGGUUGGAAAGUUGCGGCGGUUGGGGAUGGACUCGCGGCUUAGCAGCGUGUUGGUGGGGUAGUGGCUUACCAAGGCUUUGACGGGUAGCCGGCCUGAGAGGGUGACCGGCCACAUGGCGACUGACAUACGGGCGGGAGUCCUGAGGGAGGCAGGAGUAUGGACUAAUGCCUGAACGGGGGAAGCCUGGUGCAGGAACGCGGCGUGAGGGAUGAUAGCCUUCGGGUAGGAAACCGUUUUGGCGUGUGAGUAUGCGUGAGUGAAGGUAACGGGUAAAGAAGGACCGGCUAACUCCGUG